UACCCCUCCUCCACGUUACAUAGUGCCGUCGGCUUUUGUUAGCCACGAGGCAUCAACUGAGACAUAUUGGUUACUCAAUAUAGCAGAGCCUGCAACGCUGGCUUUCUGCUCAGCAACAGCCAAGGCAGACUUCCUGAGUUUUGAGACCUGGUAGCGUUCAUUCACCUCCUUGACCUUGCAGCCAACAAUGGCCCUUCCUAGAUUGAUCUUUUCACCCAAGCCAUACUAGCGGUCUAGAGAUGCAACAGUGGCAGUAGCAUUGGAUAGGAUGUUGUGACGCUCGUCAAAGGAUCUUGCUAGGUUGAGAGCAUCUUCGCUGAGGAUGGAUCCCUUGGCCAACAUGGUGUUGACAACAUCUUCUGUCUUCCUGAAUACUGAUAAAGUAGA
rnacentral:lncRNA from 7 species